UACAGAGGGUGCGAGCGUUAAUCGGAAUUACUGGGCGUAAAGCGCACGUAGGCGGCUUGGUAUGUCGGGUGUGAAAUCCCCGGGCUCAACCUGGGAACUGCAUCCGAAACUGCCUUGCUCGAGUAUGGGAGAGGGAAGUGGAAUUUCCGGUGUAGCGGUGAAAUGCGUAGAUAUGCGGAGGAACACCGAUGGCGAAGGGCAAUCCCCUGGGCCUGCACUGACGCUCAUGCACGAAAGCGUGGGGAGCAAACAGG
rnacentral:rRNA from 1 species